rnacentral:lncRNA from 10 species
GCCAGACACUGGAAAUACAAAGAUGGGACACAAUUGGAGAAACUUCUUAUUUUACCAAGGCUUUGACUGGAAUGGUGUGCUUUCCUUUAAGGAAUCAAAGUUGACUUACAAAGCCACUAAAAUCCCUGGGGAAAACUGGCCGCAAACUUGUCUACGCAAUUCCUGUAUGGGGUUCCUGACCUGUGGACAUGAGACUUCACAACUUGCUAAAAAUGAGCCUGCAUAACAACUCAGGACCUACCUGUCUAGGAAUAAACCAUCCUAUCUGUGAGAGAUCAGAUGAAACCUGAGACCAGAGACUCAUUUUCUUCUAAAAUACUUAUUCCAAAAGAUUUUAUUUUUAAAAAAAGGAGGGAAAUGUGAAAGAAAAAUAAUCUUGGGGCCCCCAAAUCACUAAGCUAAAGGGAAAAGUCAGGCUGGGAACAGCUUAGGGCCAACCUGCCUCCCAUUCUUUCAAAGUCACCCCUCUGCUCACUGAGAUAAAUGCAUAUCUGAUUGCCUCCUUUGGAAAGGCUAAUCAGAAACUCAAAAGAAUGCAACCAUUUGUCUCUUAUCUACCCAUAACCUGGAAGCCCCCUCCCCACUUUGAGUCUUCCUGCCUUGGUUUGAGUUGUCCUGCCUUUCCAGAUCAAACCGAUAUUCAUAUUGCAAUGUUGAUUGAUGUCUCAUGUCUCCCUAGAAUGUAUAAAACCAAACUGUCCUCUGACCACCUUAGGCACUUGUUGUUGGGACCUCCUGAGGCUGUGUCACAGGUGCGCAUCCUCAACCUUGGCAAAAUAAACUUCCUAAAUUAACUGAGACCUGUCUCAGAUUUUCAGGGUUCACAUCUUCUUGAUCAGUAAGACUUUUCUCCUACAGUGAGGCAGCAGAAUCAAUUGGUUAAAACAUUAAGUAGAACAUCCUGAGACUAGCUUUGUUGCUUACUACUCCAUCAUUAGAACACUAAAACAAAAGACGCCAAGCCUUAAGUUGAUAUGUAAAAAUAAACUCCAAAAUGAUUUUUAAAAUUUUUUAAUGGAGCCAUAAAUGUUUAGGAAAUAUAAGGGUAAAUAUUCAUGUAAUUCCUAUAUGGAGAAAGAAUUUCUAAGCAAAAGAGCAAUGGAAGAAGUCAUAAGGAAAAAAUCAACUUUACUAUAUAAAAAUAUAAAGCUAGGGCCAGGCACAGUGGCUCAUGCCUGUAAUCCCAGCACUUUGAGA